AGGUUUGCGCAGUGGCAGUAUCGUACCCAAUGAGGUUUAUCUGAGGUGUGAUUAUUGUUAAAAAAAAAUUUUUUUUAAAUGUAUGUGCCUCAUGUGUGGGAUGCUGGGAUAGAUUUCUUGUCCUUAAAAGGG
ensembl:snRNA U4 U4 spliceosomal RNA